rnacentral:rRNA from 1 species
UACGUAGGGUGCAAGCGUUAAUCGGAAUUACUGGGCGUAAAGCGUGCGCAGGCGGUUAUGCAAGACAGAUGUGAAAUCCCCGGGCUUAACCUGGGAACCGCAUUUGUGACUGCAUAGCUGGAGUUCGGCAGAGGGGGAUGGAAUUCCGCGUGUAGCAGUGAAAUGCGUAGAUAUCUGAAGGAACAUCAGUGGCGAAAGCGACUUCCUGGACGAAUACUGACGCUCAUGUGCGAAAGCGUGGGGAGCAAACAGG